AAAAAAAAAAGCGCCAAGGUCGUGAACUAUGACCUCUGAAGGAAAGAAAAUGGUUUUAAAAACUAUGAAAUAAAAGGUUUAGCUGCAGUGCUGUUGUUGGUUUUUGAAGUCCCUGCUGCCUCUUCAGAUCAAGAAACCUUGCAACCCUGUGGAACACUUUCUAAAGAGUGGAAUUGGACAUACACGACAGGAACAUGCAAACUAAAGAACAGCAUACCUGGAUCAUCCAGGGACAAUGAUAGAAAUGCUGAUUUCAAGGUGGAAGUUGAAGAUUGAAAAACUGAGGAGGGCUCCACUUAAGACAGGAUGUGAGCUUCGCUGGCUGGGCC